rnacentral:lncRNA from 1 species
CUCAUUUUUAUCGAAGUUUGAUUGGAAGUUUGAUGUAUCUCAAAAAUAGCAGACCUGAUAUUUUGCAAGCAACAAGACUUUUGGCCAGAUUUGUGCAACAUCCAAGAAAGCAACACUUAGGGGCUGCCAAGCAAAUCGUAAGGUAUUUGAAGGGUACAAGCUCUUUUGGAAUAUGGUAACGGAACUCUAACAAUUUUAAGUUGUGAGGAUUUUCUGAUAGCGAUUGGGGAGGAUGAUCGAAAAAGUAUGACAUGCUAUGUAUUCACUAUGUGUACAGGGGUUGUUUCAUGGUGCUCGAAAAAAUAACCAUCGACUGCUUUGUCAUCAACGGAGGCUGAAUACAUGGUCGUUACUGCAGCUGCCUGUCUAGCUGUUUGGAUGCAAAGAUUACUGGACGAUAUGAAGCAAACUCAAAUGGAGGCCACCACCAUCUAUUGUGAUAAUCAGUCAACAAUUGCAAUAGUAAAGAAUCAUGUUCAUCAUAACAGAACAAGGCACAUAGAGACACGCCACCAUUUCAUAAGAGAGCUUGUUGGCAAAGGAGAGAUCAAGAUAGAGUAUUGCAACACCAAUGAUCAAGUUGCAGAUUUAUUUACGAAGCCUCUUUUAGCAAAGAAAUUCAUCUAUUUGAGGGAAUCAUUGGGUGUUGAAGAUUUCUGCAUUAAGGGGGAAUGUUAGAUAGUUACUGCAGAAAUUUACUUUUACCAUUUACUCUUUUUUACUUAGUUUAUUUUAACUGCCUUUGAAUUAGUCAAAUAUUGUAUGUUAGUGGAAGUUGUGGUUCCAUAUUAUUAGGAGUUAUUGUUUCAAAUAGUUGCUGAUAUCUCGUUGGUAGUGGCUCAAUUUGUAACUGUAGUCUUUUCUAUUUAAGGCAACAUUUUAAUGAAGAAAUACACAGCUUUUCAGUUCAACUUCUGGUAGCACACACACUGUUUGUUGAAAGUCUUCUUGUGUUCUUUUUCUAUUUAAACUUGAGGACUAGCAUCCUCUGUUCGUUGUUUUCAAUGUCAAGCAGGCAAAGUCAAAGCUUCAAGUUUGAAAAUGAGGGGAUUUGUGUUUCAUCCCCGAGCGUUAUCUUUCCACCAUGAUAUUUUCAGAUAUAAUAUCAGUUAAUUCACAAAGCCAAAGGCCCACGUGAACACAUGACAGUAGAUAAAGAAUAAGAGGCAAUAUAUCACUGUCACAUAAUGAAAACCACAAUAUUAAAGAUGGCAAAACGAAGGUGACCCAUCGGUGAUGAAAUCCAACUAGGCCAAGUUAAACAGACAAAGAUCACAAAUAUAACUUUGACCAGUGAGAGUUCCUCUAGUCAGUUUAUAGUUGCUGCCCAUGAGCUUAUAAUUAUUAUUGGAAGAAAUUUCCUGUUAUGCCUCCAAUAAUGAUCUGAAAAUUAGUGAUUGAAGAAGAUAACGGUGAACUGAAAAAAACAGGGAUAGUCAUGAAACAACCCAUUUCACGGAUUCAACAGCCUAGGAAAGUUGAAACAUGGACGACCCGGAUUUCAUUCCAAAUCAUCUCGUUUCGAGUCAAAUGGUGGUGCUUUUCAUGGAGCUCACCGUCGAUGUUGAUCUGACGACAAUUACGGUGGUGGGACAGGGUUGCUCUUUAGACAACAAAGAUUAGGAGGAGAAGACUAAAGAGAGGGGAAGCAGUGGGUGGUUUGAAACACAUUUUCCGGCCAGCCGGUGAUGAAAUUUGGCGGCGCAGUGGCGCUGGAGAGAGGGAGGUAAUGGCAGACUCCUCUCAAAAGAGAGGGAGAUCGAUAGGAUGAGUUAGGGUUUUUUGUUUUAAAAAUAUAAAAUCCUUUUUUUAAAAUCUGAAAAAUUCUUCCUU